GCUGGGCGUGGUAGUGGGCGCCUGUAGUCCCAGCUACUCGGGAGGCUGAGGCAGGAGAAUUGCUUGAACCCAGGAGGCGGAGGUUGCAGUGAGUCGAGAUCGCACCACUGCACUCUAGCCUGGGUGACAGAGCAAGACUCCGUCUCAA
rnacentral:SRP_RNA from 1 species